GACGAACGCUGGCGGCGUGCUUAACACAUGCAAGUCGAACGGUAAGGCCCUUCGGGGUACACGAGUGGCGAACGGGUGAGUAACACGUGGGUGAUCUGCCCUGCACUUCGGGAUAAGCCUGGGAAACUGGGUCUAAUACCGGAUAGGACCACUGCCUGCAUGGGUGGUGGUGGAAAGCUUUUGCGGUGUGGGAUGGGCCCGCGGCCUAUCAGCUUGUUGGUGGGGUGAUGGUCUAACAAGGCGACGACGGGUAGCCGGCCUGAGAGGGUGAACGGCCACACUGGGACUGAGAUACGGCCCAGACUCCUACGGGAGGCAGCAGUGGGGAAUAUUGCACAAUGGGCGCAAGCCUGAUGCAGCGACGCCGCGUGAGGGAUGACGGCCUUCGGGUUGUAAACCUCUUUCAGCACCGACGAGGCGCAAGUGACGGUAGGUGCAGAAGAAGGACCGGCCAACUACGUGCCAGCCGCCGCUGUAA
rnacentral:rRNA from 1 species